rnacentral:rRNA from 1 species
AAGUCGAACGGCAGCACGGAGCUUGCUCUGGUGGCGAGUGGCGAACGGGUGUGUAAUAUAUCGGAACGUACCCUAGAGUGGGGGAUAACGUAGCGAAAGUUACGCUAAUACCGCAUACGAUCUAAGGAUGAAAGUGGGGGAUCGCAAGACCUCAUGCUCGUGGAGCGGCCGAUAUCUGAUUAGCUAGUUGGUAGGGUAAAAGCCUACCAAGGCAUCGAUCAGUAGCUGGUCUGAGAGGACGACCAGCCACACUGGAACUGAGACACGGUCCAGACCCCUACGGGAGGCAGCAGUGGGGAAUUUUGGACAAUGGGCGAAAGCCUGAUCCAGCAAUGCCGCGUGAGUGAAGAAGGCCUUCGGGUUGUAAAGCUCUUUUGUCAGGGAAGAAACGGUGAAAGCUAAUAUCUUUUGCUAAUGACGGUACCUGAAGAAUAAGCACCGGCUAACUACGUGCCAGCAGCCGCGGUAAUACGUAGGGUGCAAGCGUUAAUCGGAAUUACUGGGCGUAAAGCGUGCGCAGGCGGUUUUGUAAGUCUGAUGUGAAAUCCCCGGGCUCAACCUGGGAAUUGCAUUGGAGACUGCAAGGCUAGAAUCUGGCAG